UUAGUUAGCCGUGGCUUUCUGAUUAGGUACGUCAAGACGUGCACAGUUACUUACACAUUUGUUCUUCCCUAAUAACAGAGUUUUACGAGCCGAAACCCUUCAUCACUCACGCGGCGUUGCUCCGUCAGGCUUUCGCCCAUUGCGGAAGAUUCCCUACUGCUGCCUCCCGUAGGAGUCUGGACCGUGUCUCAGUUCCAGUGUGGCCGAUCACCCUCUCAGGUCGGCUACGUAUCGUCGCCUUGGUAAGCCGUUACCUUACCAACUAGCUAAUACGGCGCGGGUCCAUCUAUAAGUGAUAGCAAAACCAUCUUUCACUUUAGAACCAUGCGGUUCCAAAUGUUAUCCGGUAUUAGCUCCGGUUUCCCGAAGUUAUCCCAGUCUUAUAGGUAGGUUACCCACGUGUUACUCACCCGUCCGCCGCUAACGUCAAAGGAGCAAGCUCCUUAUCUGUUCGCUCGACAUGCAUGUAUUAGGCACGCCGCCAGCGUUCAUCCUGAGCCAGGAUCAAACUCUAUAAU
rnacentral:rRNA from 1 species